AUAUGAUAUCUAAAGAAACAAUGUCAACAAACCCAUAAAAGAUAAAGGUAAUUUAGGAAUAACUGAAAGCAAAAAUACCAAAAGAAAUGUUAGAAUUUCUUGGCCUUAUUAGGUUAUUAAAUAAAGUUUAUAGCAAUUAUGGCUAAACAUCAAGGUUAUUGGAUGAAAUCUUGAAAGAAACUAUAAUAUUCUAAUUUUUUG
rnacentral:lncRNA from 1 species